GAGGCUAUGGCUCAGCGGCAGAGCGCUUGCCUAGCAUGUAUGAGGCACUGGGUUUGAUUCUCAGUACCACA
rnacentral:tRNA from 1 species